GUGCUUGCUCUGGCAGCACAUACACUAAAAUUGGAGUGAUACAGAGAAGGUUAGCAUGGCCUCCGCAAGGAUAACACACAAAUUCAUGAAGCAUUCCAUAUUUUU
ensembl:snRNA U6 U6 spliceosomal RNA